rnacentral:lncRNA from 1 species
AGACAGGUGUACCCUUGAGAAGCACCAUUAUUAAAUACCCUGUUGCCAAGAGGGGUUGUGCUAGGAAUGGCAGGUGGAGAUGAGGUCUCCUUUCUACGCCCCAAGAGCCAGCGAAGGAGCUGCAGGUGUGGAAUGCCAGGGGCACACACCUGUCCUUGGGGAGCAGUCCUUUCAGGAUGCCUGAGAACUCUUCCUUAGUCAACAAGCCACCACUUUCAUCCUUAAAGGCUUGAAACCUUGGAAGAUACCCUCAUACAACCAGCAGAUGGCAUCAAAACCUUCCACCCCACAGCUCAGGCAAUCUCCCAGUUGAGACAAGGUCCUCAAACCUCUCCAGAUGAGGGUACAAAAUCCUCAAGAUUCAAGUCACAAAUCACAAAUCACGAAGGGCAUCCAAGCCCAGGAAAUGAGGUUCAAAUCCCUUCCACCUUUCCUGCCAGGAAUCCUUUCCUUAUGACUGUCAAUCUCUGUUCUGACAAGGAAGCUGAGAUACACCCAGGACACAAUGGAAGAUUAGGGAUCGUAGGGA